rnacentral:rRNA from 1 species
CCUACGUGCGGCAGCAGUGGGGAAUAUUGCGCAAUGGGCGAAAGCCUGACGCAGCGACGCCGCGUGAGGGAUGAAGGUCUUCGGAUCGUAAACCUCUGUCAGCAGGGAAGAACGGUCACUGUGCUAAUCAGCAGUGAAUUGACGGUACCUGCAAAGGAAGCACCGGCUAACUCCGUGCCAGCAGCCGCGGUAAUACGGAGGGUGCGAGCGUUAAUCGGAAUUACUGGGCGUAAGGCGCUCGUAGGCGGUAUGUCAAGUCAAGGGUGAAAUCCCCGCGCUCAACGUGGGAACUGCCUUUGAAACUGGCAAACUGGAGUGUGUGAGAGGAUAGUGGAAUUCCAGGUGUAGGAGUGAAAUCCGUAGAUAUCUGGAGGAACAUCAGUGGCGAAGGCGACUAUCUGGCACAUAACUGACGCUGAGGAGCGAAAGCGUGGGUAGCAAACAGGAUUAGAUACCCCAGUAGUC